UACGGGGGGGGCAAGCGUUGUUCGGAAUUACUGGGCGUAAAGGGCUCGUAGGCGGCCAACUAAGUCAGACGUGAAAUCCCUCGGCUUAACCGGGGAACUGCGUCUGAUACUGGAUGGCUUGAGUGUGGGAGAGGGAUGCGGAACUCCAGGUGUAGCGGUGAAAUGCGUAGAUAUCGUGAGGAACACCAGAGGCGAAGGCGGUUACCUGGACAGUUACUGACGCUCAGGCACGAAAGCAUGGGGAGCAAAAGGG
rnacentral:rRNA from 1 species